GAUGAAGAACGCAGCGAAAUGCGAUAAGUAAUGUGAAUUGCAGAAUUCAGUGAAUCAUCGAAUCUUUGAACGCACAUUGCGCCCGCUAGCAUUCUGGCGGGCAUGCCUGUUCGAGCGUCAUUUCAACCCUCGAGCCCCCCCGGGGGCCUCGGUGUUGGGGGACGGCACACCAGCCGCCCCCGAAAUGCAGUGGCGACCUCGCCGCAGCCUCCCCUGCGUAGUAGCACACACCUCGCACCGGAGCGCGGAGACGGUCACGCCGUAAAACGCCCAACUUCUUAGAGUUGACCUCGGAUCAGGUAGGAAUACCCGCUGAACUUAAGCAUAUCAAUAAGCGGAGGA
rnacentral:misc_RNA from 1 species